UACGUAGGAGGCAAGCGUUGUCCGGAUUGACUGGGCGUAAAGGGCGUGUAGGCGGUUGGUCAAGUCUGAUGUGAAAGCCCGGGGCUCAGCCCCGGAAGGGCAUCGGAAACUAGCCAGCUGGAGCGCGAUAGAGGAGGGUGGAAUUCCUGGUGUAGCGGUGAAAUGCGUAGAUAUCAGGAGGAACACCGGCGGCGAAGGCGGCCCUCUGGAUCGUUGCUGACGCUGAGACGCGAAAGCGUGGGGAGCAAACAGG
rnacentral:rRNA from 1 species